AAAUUGAAGAGUUUGAUCAUGGCUCAGAUUGAACGCUGGCGGCAGGCCUAACACAUGCAAGUCGAACGGUAACAGGAAGCAGCUUGCUGCUUCGCUGACGAGUGGCGGACGGGUGAGUAAUGUCUGGGAAACUGCCUGAUGGAGGGGGAUAACUACUGGAAACGGUGGCUAAUACCGCAUAACGUCGCAAGACCAAAGAGGGGGACCUUCGGGCCUCUUGCCAUCAGAUGUGCCCAGAUGGGAUUAGCUUGUUGGUGAGGUAACGGCUCACCAAGGCGACGAUCCCUAGCUGGUCUGAGAGGAUGACCAGCCACACUGGAACUGAGACACGGUCCAGACUCCUACGGGAGGCAGCAGUGGGGAAUAUUGCACAAUGGGCGCAAGCCUGAUGCAGCCAUGCCGCGUGUAUGAAGAAGGCCUUCGGGUUGUAAAGUACUUUCAGCGGGGAGGAAGGUGUUGUGGUUAAUAACCACAGCAAUUGACGUUACCCGCAGAAGAAGCACCGGCUAACUCCGUGCCAGCAGCCGCGGUAAUACGGAGGGUGCAAGCGUUAAUCGGAAUUACUGGGCGUAAAGCGCACGCAGGCGGUCUGUCAAGUCGGAUGUGAAAUCCCCGGGCUCAACCUGGGAACUGCAUUCGAAACUGGCAGGCUUGAGUCUUGUAGAGGGGGGUAGAAUUCCAGGUGUAGCGGUGAAAUGCGUAGAGAUCUGGAGGAAUACCGGUGGCGAAGGCGGCCCCCUGGACAAAGACUGACGCUCAGGUGCGAAAGCGUGGGGAGCAAACAGGAUUAGAUACCCUGGUAGUCCACGCCGUAAACGAUGUCUACUUGGAGGUUGUGCCCUUGAGGCGUGGCUUCCGGAGCUAACGCGUUAAGUAGACCGCCUGGGGAGUACGGCCGCAAGGUUAAAACUCAAAUGAAUUGACGGGGGCCCGCACAAGCGGUGGAGCAUGUGGUUUAAUUCGAUGCAACGCGAAGAACCUUACCUGGUCUUGACAUCCACAGAACUUUCCAGAGAUGGAUUGGUGCCUUCGGGAACUGUGAGACAGGUGCUGCAUGGCUGUCGUCAGCUCGUGUUGUGAAAUGUUGGGUUAAGUCCCGCAACGAGCGCAACCCUUAUCCUUUGUUGCCAGCGGUCCGGCCGGGAACUCAAAGGAGACUGCCAGUGAUAAACUGGAGGAAGGUGGGGAUGACGUCAAGUCAUCAUGGCCCUUACGACCAGGGCUACACACGUGCUACAAUGGCGCAUACAAAGAGAAGCGACCUCGCGAGAGCAAGCGGACCUCAUAAAGUGCGUCGUAGUCCGGAUUGGAGUCUGCAACUCGACUCCAUGAAGUCGGAAUCGCUAGUAAUCGUGGAUCAGAAUGCCACGGUGAAUACGUUCCCGGGCCUUGUACACACCGCCCGUCACACCAUGGGAGUGGGUUGCAAAAGAAGUAGGUAGCUUAACCUUCGGGAGGGCGCUUACCACUUUGUGAUUCAUGACUGGGGUGAAGUCGUAACAAGGUAACCGUAGGGGAACCUGCGGUUGGAUCACCUCCUUACCUUAAAGAAGC
rnacentral:rRNA from 1 species